ensembl:lncRNA
AUGCAUAAAGCACGUCCUGCUGCCACUCCUUCUCACAGUCUCCCCGCUACUUCCCAAAUCAGAUCUAGCAUUUGGAAGGGUCAAGUAGUUCCUGUGUGGCCUGGGUUGCUCAGUUCCCCAGUGAGAAUGUGUAUUGCAGAGACCUCAUCUCAAGCACUGGGGACCCAGCCACUAUUUUCCACUGGACCCACAGUACAAGACAUUGCCUACCGUAUUUUUAAAGGUAGAGCCUGGACACCUGUCAUUAUUUCAGUCCUGCCCAGGUGAUUCUCUUGUACAGCCAUGGCUGAGGUCCACUGAUUGUAAGUCUACCUCACCUGAACAUAUUAUUCGAUGAGUCUGAGAUUUACUAACAACUUACAGAUAUAAUCUGUUGAUGGAUAUCUUGCUUCAUAUUGUAAUAGUAUACAGUUGGCAUUUUUAAUUUAACUUUAUAAUUUACUUCAGUACAAAGAUACAUUGAAAUUGGAAUAUAUGGCUAAAUGGAUUGUUUCCUUGUAACUGCAUAACACUAUGCUAUCUUACAUUUGUAUGGUUCUUUACAUCUUAGCAACAGCUUUUAUGUAAUUUCAUUUGAUUCCAAAACAAUUUCACCUAGUCAUUGUGCUGGUAUUUGUAAUGAACUAGGGUCACUAUUUCUGGAAUGUUUCAUGAGGAAUAUUAAUAAUCAAGUGGCUUCUAUCUCUGCACCCAGUCCACCCUAUGGUCCCAGAAAAAGGUCAGAGUCAGGAUUGUAAAAUAGGAACGGAAUCUGAAAAACAUGAAGAAGUAUAAAUCCUGCCCAUUCUACCCUCUGUGAGUGGGAGGAAGAAAGAGUUAAGACGUGAAGGGAGGUAAUUGAUCAGACAGGUGUGUGUGCUUUCCUUUCUCUGGGUUGAAAACCCAGGAGGGCAUCUGGUAGAGUGGUAGUCAUUGAGGGGAAAUCUGAAAACAGAGCUUCACACUGGCAUCCAGUUGGAAUGUAGGGAUAGAGUAAACAUGGGAGCAGGACAUGUACAGAAGGAUGCAGAUGUUCUCUAGGCUCCUACAAAGAAAGCAGAAGUUAGCUCAGUUGAGAGCCAUUAGGAUUGCUCUGAGGCUACAGGGUGGAGAAUGUGGGCAACACUCGGAGGGCUCUGCAAGUCAGCAAGAGCCAAAGAAGGGCAAGUCAUCGGUGGAGGGCAACUCCAAGUCCAUUGUUGUUCUCCUUUAAACUCAUGGAGACUAUUCCAGACUCUUGGACUACCUAACUGCCUCCUCCUUAUCAAAUUUUACCAAAUUUAUGUCUUGUCUAUCUGGUCACUGGUCUAGAUUAAGUGACAGAUGGAAGAUUUGAUAGGGCUGAUUUUAACUGAGAGGAGUGAAAUAGAAAGGCCAUGUCAUCGGACAGGCCUAGUCUGGUUCCAACACUUUCUACUUGGGUCUCUUUAAACAAGUCACUUAAUAUCUCUCAGCUGAGAAUUCUGUCAGCAUUUGACACUUACAUCUAGCUCUUACAGAUGAUGUGAAAAUUAACCACAUAACUCUGCUUGUCACUUUUGGUCUUUUGGGGUCAUUGCAGCAGCUCCAAUGCCUAGAGCAGGGUCUAGUUUAUAGUAAGCACAAAAUAUGCAAUUGUUGAAUCAAUCAAAUGAAUGUUUUAGCUAGAAAACUUUUAGUAACAAGUGGUAGAAAUCCCGACUCAAAUUUCCUUCAAAAUGAAGAAAUAUGUUGGAUAACAAAAUUGUGAAAGUCUAAAUGUUUCACAGUGGUCAGAUAUGGUUGAAUUGGUGACUCUACUUCUUCGGGAUUCUCUAUAUUUUGCCUUCCUUCCUGAGCUGACUUCUUCCUCAUUCGAGUACUGACAUGGCUACAAGAGCUUUAGGGCUUAAAAUGCACAAAGAAAAUUCAGAGGAAAAAAGGUCAUUUGGGGUGGCCUUCUUUUUGAAAUGAGAAAAUGUCUUUCCCAGAACUCCCAUGAAACCUAUCUUCAUGGGUCAUUUGACCAAAUUGUAACACAUGCCCGUUAGUGAGCCAAGUCUGAGACCUAAGUAAUAUCUUUCACUAGGUGGUCCACGGUUGGGCUCCCAAGCCAGUCACUUACAAGGACAAUGGGAUUACCCUUAGAACAGUCUCUGAAGCUAGCAGUGGGGUGCACUCUGCCUGAAGGGCAUGUUUUACGUACAGGAUGGGAGUGGUGGAUACUUGAACCCAAAUUAGGGUGCUUUUUGGAAGGAGAAAAUGGAUGCUGGGAUGGAGCAGGAUGCAAUCAACCUCUGCUUACCACAAUAUGUAAGUAUCAGUCACUAUAUUUGAUAUGUCAUGGACUCUUAAUUAAUACUCCAUUUCUCUUAUAAACAGGACUUGUGUAAAGACUUAAAGAAAGUGAUCGAGUUUUUAAGUGGUGGACAGUAAACAGUUUAGUGGGAUUGGGGAAGAAUGGAGAGUUUAUCAGUCAGUGUCCCUACAGCAAAUAUAUAGCAUAUUCAAAUGAGGGAACUGGAAAGAAUUUUAAUAAAGGACUCUUUACAAAAAAAAGGAAACCAAUCAGGAACAGAGAAGCACUGCCAUGGUAGCAAUGAGAGGCAUGUUACUAACCCUGUCUAAGGUGCCAUGGGGGGCACUUAGUAGUAAACCUGGAACCUGGAAGGAGUUGCUGUCAGUUGUUUUCAAUGGUGGGGUGGCAGGUAGGAGGAGAUUGUACUCCUUGGUAUUAUAAGGUAUUGUAAGGGGGCAUGAAAUGGCUUUUAACUAAAUAGUUUGGGAAAUGCUGCAUUAAAUAACAUGAAAAAGAAAUAGUCAGAGAAUUUGAUUUGUCUGGAAACAUUUUGGAUUGCCCUGACUGAGUGGAUCUUAUUGGCACCUGGUGUGGAGAGGCCAGGAAUGCUGCUAAACAGAUGCAUACAAUGAACAGCUAUCCGGCUCAAGAUGUCAAUAGUGUGAAGGCCUAGAAACCUUGUGCCAGAGAAAGUAUCGUGAAAACAGAGGGCUACUGAGAGUGUGGACUUUUUAUAUAACCCUAGGCAACCUGAGGCAAAGAGAAAGUUGUGGCAUGAGAUAUCGGACCUCCCUCCCUCCUGCCUGCCCAUAUCCCAGUGGGCCUCACUGGGCAACCCCAACCUAACCCCAACCAACCUAACUGUCUAACCCCACUGGGAAGCUAGACAGCAAGGAAUUCCACUGAUACAGACUAUGAAUCUCAACCUCAUAGACACAGAGUAGGGUAGAUAAGAGUAGUGGACCUGGAGGGGCAAAUGAAAAACAUGCAGUGCAGGGGAUGAGUUGGGAUGUGGAUCAAAGCCAUCAAAUAUGGAUAACUUUAUAUGGUCCAAGCUUCUACUGGAAUUGGAAGGUGAGCAGGUAAGAUAGAGGUCCAAUAAAAGGGAAAGUUUAAGUGCUUGAUUCUGAGCUCUGUUUAUAUUUAUAAUUUUUUU